GUGGGGAAUCUUGCGCAAUGGGCGAAAGCCUGACGCAGCCAUGCCGCGUGAAUGAUGAAGGUCUUAGGAUUGUAAAAUUCUUUCACCGGGGACGAUAAUGACGGUACCCGGAGAAGAAGCUCCGGCUAACUUCGUGCCAGCAGCCGCGGUAAUACGAAGGGGGCUAGCGUUGCUCGGAAUUACUGGGCGUAAAGGGCGCGUAGGCGGACAGCUUAGUCAGAGGUGAAAGCCGAGGGAUCAACCUUGGAAUUGCCUUUGAUACUGGCUGUCUUGAGUUUGGGAGAGGUGAGUGGAACUCCGAGUGUAGAGGUGAAAUUCGUAGAUAUUCGGAAGAACACCAGUGGCGAAGGCGACUCACUGGCCCAAUACUGACGCUGAGGCGCGAAAGCGUGGGGAGCAAACAGGAUUAGAAACCCUGGUAGUCC
rnacentral:rRNA from 1 species